rnacentral:rRNA from 1 species
GACGGAGGGUGCAAGCGUUGUUCGGAAUCACUGGGCGUAAAGCGCGUGUAGGAGGUUUGAUAAGUCGAAUGUGAAAGCCCGAGGCUCAACCUCGGAAGUGCAUUUGAAACUGUCAGGCUUGAGUAAGGGAGAGAGAAGUGGAAUUCCUGGUGUAGAGGUGAAAUUCGUAGAUAUCAGGAGGAACACCGGUGGCGAAGGCGGCUUCCUGGACCGAUACUGACGCUGAGACGCGAAAGCGUGGGGAGCAAACAGG